AGUGAAUAGAUACCCAGGUAGUCCACGCUGUAAACGGUGGGCACUAGGUGUGGGGACGAUUCCACGUUCUCCGUGCCGUAGCUAAACGCAUUAAGUGCCCGCCUGGGAGUACGGCCGCAAGGCUAAAACUACAAAGGAAUUGACGGGGGCCCGGCACAAGCGGCGGAGCAUGCGGAUUAAUUCGAUGCAACGCGAAGAACCUUACCUGGGUUUGUACAUGCACUAGACGCGUUCAGAGAUGGGCGUUCCUUUUGGUCUGGUGUGCAGGUGGUGCAUGGCUGUCGUCAGCUCGUGUCGUGAGAUGUUGGGUUAAGUCCCGCAACGAGCGCAACCCUCGUCCUAUGUUGCCAGCGGUUCGGCCGGGAACUCAUAGGAGACUGCCGGGGUCAACUCGGA
rnacentral:rRNA from 1 species